rnacentral:tRNA from 1 species
UCCGUUGUAGUCUAGUUGGUCAGGAUAUUCGGCUCUCACCCGAAAAACCCGGGUUCAAGUCCCGGCAACGGAA